CCUACGGGUGACAGCAGUGGGGAAUAUUGCACAAUGGGGGAAACCCUGAUGCAGCGACGCCGCGUGAGUGAAGAAGUAAUUCGUUAUGUAAAGCUCUAUCAGCAGGGGAGAAAAUGACGGUACCUGAGUAUGAAGCCCCGGCUAACUACGUGCCAGCAGCCGCGGUAAUACGUAGGGGGCAGGCGUUAUCCGGAUUUACUGGGGGUAAAGGGGGCGUAGACGGCAGUGCAGGUCUGGAGUGAAAGGCGGGGGCUCAACCCCCGGACUGCGCGUGAAACUGUAGGGCUGGAGUGCAGGAGAGGUAAGUGGAAUUCCUAGUGUAGCGGUGAAAUGCGUAGAUAUUAGGAGGAACACCAGUGGCGAAGGCAGCUUACUGGAGUGUAACUGACGUUGAGGCUCGAAAGCGUGGGGAGCAAACAGGAUUAGAUACCCCGGUAGUC
rnacentral:rRNA from 1 species